UUUAGAUUCAUGCACUCAUAGACAGAUCAGAUAUAGCCUGACAAAAAAAGCUCUCUGAUCCACAGGCAUGUAAUGGCCUGUGUUUCGAAAACAGAUUUCAAUAGACCUAAAUGUUUGCCUGCAGUACAAUUGCUGUAAAGGCAAGACUAAUAUUUCUAUCAAUAUUUGGAGUGGAUAGCCUGAUUUAGCUUCUAGCUUUUUCCAAGUGGUAUUUGGACUGAUGCUGUUUGGCUGAUUCUGAUUUAAGGUCACAAGACAUUGAAGCAAACCAAAAGGAUAAAUUUCUGGAGAGUGAGACAUUCUCUAUGAUUUGUCUCACUCUGGAAGCCUUGUGAGAAAACCUUUUUAUCCUCUGUACCUCUGUCCAGCCUGAAGAAGUUGGAUGCACAGAUACACCUUCAGGGUAGGAUUACAUCCGCUUCAGAGAAUUACAUCCACUUCAGAGGAUUUAGAAUCACAGAGACAAUAGCACAUCUGCUUUCAGCCUCAUUCACUACCACAGAAAGAAACACACUCUCUUUUCUACAAGAUGGGAAACUAAGGCAGUCUCUGAGCACUUAAAAAAAAAAAAAAAGAAAACAGAAAAAUUAAGAACUUCAAAACACAGUCUAGUUUCUGGGUUUAUUCUUGGAACAGAAAAGCCACAUGCUGCUCCCUGUUCACAGCUUGAAGAAAACACCCAAUUUAGUCCUUACUGUGUAACAAAGAAACUGUAGUUUCCACUAGGAAACUGAGGACUGCACACUGACCACGUUUUCUGGUUAUAAAUAACAGAUCACAGACUAGAAGCACUGUCUUUUCUCAGAUUAUAUUGUUAUCUCCAUUGUACAUUCUUGAUCAAACAUCUCAUCUUCUGAGUGAUUUUUAUAUCACCUUGCGAUACAUUGCCUUUAAAAUUUAAUGCUUCCAAGUUGUUAUUUUCCCCUUCAACUUCUCUGACUAACUUCUGGUACUCAGUUUGCAAUUCCAGAAACUUAGUUUCUUUUUGACUAAGCAAAGUAGUAGAAGCCCCCAAAUUGAGUGCUGUUAUCAUAGAAUGAUAGAAUGCUUUGUGUGGGAAGGGACCUUUAAAGGUCAUCUGGUCCUUUAAAGGACCUACUCUCCAGGUAGGAGCAACUUUCACUAGACCAGAUUGCUCAAAGCAAAUUCCAUCUUAAAUUAUCAAUGGCAAAGAUUCGUGUACAAACCAAAUCAAGAACCUAGAAUAAAUAAAAACAGUACCAGCAAACAAAGCUAGUUUGGUUCUCUCCUUUUCCAGGUACUAUAUAAACAACCAUCAACUAAGAGAAUUGUAGCGUGUUGCUAAGCCACUGGCUCAGCUUGAAUGAUGAA